rnacentral:rRNA from 1 species
UACGUAGGGGGCAAGCGUUAUCCGGAUUUACUGGGUGUAAAGGGAGCGUAGACGGCCAUGCAAGUCUGAAGUGAAAGCCCGGGGCUUAACCGCGGGACUGCUUUGGAAACUGUGUGGCUAGAGUGCUGGAGAGGUAAGUGGAAUUCCUAGUGUAGCGGUGAAAUGCGUAGAUAUUAGGAGGAACACCAGUGGCGAAGGCGGCUUACUGGACUGUAACUGACGUUGAGGCUCGAAAGCGUGGGGAGCAAACAGG